UGCCAGCCGCCGCGGUAACACGGGGGGCGCAAGCGUUAUUCGGAAUUAUUGGGCGUAAAGGGCGCGCAGGCGGUCUUGUCCGUCAGGUGUGAAAGCUCGGGGCUCAACCCCGGAAGUGCACUUGAAACAGCAAGACUUGAAUACGGGAGAGGAGAGAGGAAUUCCUGGUGUAGAGGUGAAAUGCGUAGAGAUUGGAAAGAACACCAAUGGCGAAGGCACUUUACUGGGCUACUGCUGGCACUCAGAGACGAAAGCUAGGGUAGCAAAUGGGAUUAGAUA
rnacentral:rRNA from 1 species